CUGAGAGAUCUUCUGGAGAGUCCAGACUGCAGACUGGAGACCCUCAGGAUCAGAGAUUAUGAGACGAUCAGAGCCAAGAUCCAGAAGAACUGAACUCCCAUCCCCCGAGUCCUGCGGCAGGAAGCGCUCCUUCUCUCCAAGAACUCCUGGACCCUGCAAGCUGCUCCAGAACCAGAGUCCCAGUGAGGAGUCCAGCCA